rnacentral:rRNA from 1 species
UACGUAGGGUGCGAGCGUUGUUCGGAUUCAUUGGGCGUAAAGGGUGCGUAGGCGGCGCGGUAAGUCGGGUGUGAAAUCUUGGAGCUUAACUCCGAAACUGCAUUCGAUACUGCCGUGCUUGAGGACUGGAGAGGAGACUGGAAUUUACGGUGUAGCGGUGAAAUGCGUAGAUAUCGUAAGGAAGACCAGUGGCGAAGGCGGGUCUCUGGACAGUUCCUGACGCUGAAGCACGAAGGCCAGGGGAGCAAACGGG